UUCACUCUUAUGUGGAUCCUGAGAAACUUAACAGAAGAUCAUGGGGGAGGGGAAGAAAAAAAAAGUUAGAAAAAUCACUCAUAAGAAUGAAACAGAGUUUGGACCAAAGAACUGGACUUCACAACUGGGCUUUGGCAGAAGGGAAGAAAGGAUAUGCAUAUGUAUGUGUAAGGAACAAAGUAAACAGAUGCAGAACAAAAGUCACAUAGAACAUAACUGUGGUAUCUCCUGAAACAUUUUAUGAAGGCCACUCAACAGGAAUAUUAAAGGAAAUUUACCAGACUCUGCAGUCCUUGGUGCCAGUUGGAAUUCUGCAUUACAAAUAGAGGCUCCAUUCCCUUCCAGAGAGAAGAGAGUUUGAUGAACAAUUGUGAGAAUUGUUAAGUGGAUUUCUCCAUUCCCCAGAUUCAGGAAACAAACUUGAUGAUGUAUGUUUAAGGAAAUGUACAUAAUUCUAAUUUUAGAGUUUUAUUGUCAACACAAUAUAAUGUAAGAUUUUGUAUUUUUACAAAUAAAAAUGAAUGAAAAUAUUUAAAAAGGAG
rnacentral:lncRNA from 1 species